AUUGAACGCUGGCGGCAGGCUUAACACAUGCAAGUCGAGCGGGGUGAUGGUGCUUGCACUAUCACUUAGCGGCGGACGGGUGAGUAAUGCUUAGGAAUCUGCCUAUUAGUGGGGGACAACAUCUCGAAAGGGAUGCUAAUACCGCAUACGUCCUACGGGAGAAAGCAGGGGAUCACUUGUGACCUUGCGCUAAUAGAUGAGCCUAGGUCGGAUUAGCUAGUUGCUGGGGUAAAGGCCUACCAAGGCGACGAGCUGUAGCGGGUCUGAGAGGAUGAGCCGCCACACUGGGACUGAGACACGGCCCAGACUCCUACGGGAGGAAGCAGUGGGGAAUAUUGGACAAUGGGGGGAACCCUGAUCCAGCCAUGCCGCGUGUGUGAAGAAGGCCUUAUGGUUGUAAAGCACUUUAAGCGAGGAGGAGGCUCUUUUGGUUAAUACCCAAGACGAGUGGACGUUACUCGCAGAAUAAGCACCGGCUAACUCUGUGCCAGCCGCCGCCGUAA
rnacentral:rRNA from 1 species